rnacentral:rRNA from 1 species
CGGACGGGCGAGUAAUGUCUGGGAAACUGCCUGAUGGAGGGGGAUAACUACUGGAAACGGUAGCUAAUACCGCAUAACGUCGCAAGACCAAAGAGGGGGACCUUCGGGCCUCUUGCCAUCGGAUGUGCCCAGAUGGGAUUAGCUAGUAGGUGGGGUAACGGCUCACCUAGGCGACGAUCCCUAGCUGGUCUGAGAGGAUGACCAGCCACACUGGAACUGAGACACGGUCCAG